AAGGGCACCACAAGAACGCGUGGAGCAUGUGGCUUAAUUUGACUCAACGCGGGAAAUCUUACCGGGUCCGGACACACUGAGGAUUGACAGACAAACAACUAUUGUUGUUACAAAGAUGCUAGUUCUUUCAUGAUUAUGUGAUAGGUGGUGCAUGGCCGUUCUUAGUUCGUGGAGUGAUCUGUCUGCUUAAUUGCGUUUCAAUAUUUAAAUACGUAUACGUAUGACCCAAUACAUUGUAUUGCGUGUCUAGUAUGCUAUCAUUUGAAAGCAACGAACGUGACCGUAUCCUUUUAUUAAUAUACUACACACGUAUAUAUUCAUUAUUAAAGGGACCGCUGUUUCUUUCUUUUAAACCAGAGGAAGGUUACGGCAAUAACAGGUCUGUGAUGCCCUUCGAUGUUCCGGGCUGCACACGUGCUACAAUGAUUAUUUCAUUAAGUAUCUCGUAUAUAUGUGCAUAUAGCUCUUAUAUAAAUCCUACCCUGAGAAUGGGCGGGUAAUCAAUUAGAAGUAAUGAUUUCCUUUUUUUUAUACGCAACCAUGUACCGUUAUAUUACAUCCCACACAUAUUAUUUAUGCGUGCGUGUGUGUUUUAUAAAUUGUGUACGCGUAACUGUUAAUUCAUGGUGGGGAUAGACCAUUGUUAAUUGUUGGUCUCGGUCUUAACUAGGAAUGCCUUGUACGGGUCAUUGGUUCAACAAACCACCCGGAAUACGUCCCUGCCCUUUGUACACACCGCCCGUCGCUCUUACCGAUGAACUUCGCUAUGAAUCUAUUGGACUGUACGCAUGUACGGAAAGAUAUAUGAAUAGUGUGGUUUAAAGGAAAGAGAAGUCGUAACAAGGCAUCAGUAGGUGAACCUGCUGAUGGAUCAUUA
rnacentral:rRNA from 1 species